GAUGAACGCUGGCGGCGUGCUUAACACAUGCAAGUCGAACGGAAAGGCCCAAGCUUGCUUGGGUACUCGAGUGGCGAACGGGUGAGUAACACGUGGGUGAUCUGCCCUGCACUUCGGGAUAAGCCUGGGAAACUGGGUCUAAUACCGGAUAGGACGAUGGUUUGGAUGCCAUUGUGGAAAGUUUUUUCGGUGUGGGAUGAGCUCGCGGCCUAUCAGCUUGUUUGUGGGGUAAUGGCCUACCAAGGCGUCGACGGGUAGCCGGCCUGAGAGGGUGUAAGGCCAGAUUGGGACGGAGAGACGGCCCAGACUCGUAAGGGAGGCAGCAGGGGGGAAUAUUGCACAAUGGGAGGAAGCCUGAUGCAGCGAGGCCGCGUGAGGGAUGACGGCCUUCGGGUUGUAGACACCUUUCGCUAGGGACGAAGCGUUUUUGUGACGGUACCAGGAGAAGAAGCACCGGCUAACUACGUG
rnacentral:rRNA from 1 species